rnacentral:rRNA from 1 species
GAUGAACGCUGGCGGCGUGCCUAAUACAUGCAAGUCGAACGAAACUUCUUUAUCACCGAGUGCUUGCACUCACCGAUAAAGAGUUGAGUGGCGAACGGGUGAGUAACACGUGGGCAACCUGCCCAAAAGAGGGGGAUAACACUUGGAAACAGGUGCUAAUACCGCAUAACCAUAGUUACCGCAUGGUAACUAUGUAAAAGGUGGCUAUAUUACCGCUUUUGGAUGGGCCCGCGGCGCAUUAGCUAGUUGGUAGGGUAAAGGCUUACCAAGGCAAUGAUGCGUAGCCGAAUUGAGAGGUUGAUCGGCCACAUUGGGACUGAGACACGGCCCAAACUCCUACGGGAGGCAGCAGUAGGGAAUCUUCCACAAUGGGCGAAAGCCUGAUGGAGCAACGCCGCGUGGGUGAAGAAGGUCUUCGGAUCGUAAAACCCUGUUGUUAGAGAAGAAAGUGCGUGAGAGUAACUGUUCACGUUUCGACGGUAUCUAACCGGAAAGCCACGGCUAACUACGUG